CCUACGGGUGGCAGCAGUGAGGAAUAUUGGUCAAUGGGCGGAAGCCUGAACCAGCCAAGUAGCGUGCGGGAUGAAGGCCCUACGGGUCGUAAACCGCUUUUUCACGGUGAUAACACCCUCCACUUGUGGAGGUAUGCAGGUCCCGUGCGAAUAAGGGCCGUUAAAUUCCGUGCCAGCAGCCGCGGUAAUACGGAAGUCCCGAGCGUUAUCCGGUUUCAUGGGGCUUAAAGGGAGCGUAGGCGGCUUUAAAGGCCGCUGUAAAAUCGGGCGGCUCAACCGCGCCCCGCAGUUGAAACUGGAGGCCUUGAGUUCACAACAGGCAGGCGGAAUUCGUGGUGUAGCGGUGAAAUGCAUAGAUAUCACGAGGAACCCCGAUUGCGAAGGCAGCCUGCCGGGGUGCGACUGACGCUGAGGCUCGAAGGUGCGGGUAUCAAACAGGAUUAGAUACCCCAGUAGUC
rnacentral:rRNA from 1 species